AUGAACAUUGCCCUCCUGACCCGAUGGCUCUGGCGAAUCGCCAAUGUGGAAGGAGGCCUCUGGCUUACCAUCAUCCGGAACAAGUACCUUCGGGACCAACCACUCGCUUUCUGUCAGUGUUCCGGUGGCUCCCAGUUCUGGCAGGCCGUGAUUCAGCUGCUACCCGUACUCCGCAUUGGCACGUCCAUCUCGGUUGGCUCCGGAUCCUCGACCCUGUCCUAGUUCGAUCGUUGGAUUGGCGACUUACCCCUGGCCGCGCGAUUCCCAGAGCUAUUCGCCAUUGCGAUGGACCCUCGGGUCUCUGUCGAGACGGCCCUUAUUGACUUAGGGCGCCUCGCUUUCCGUCGUCCCUUCGGCCCCCUUGAGGUGGCCGCUUGGGACGCCCUCCUCCAGGACAUCGCCCUUCUCCCGAUAGAUGUCGAGGGCGCCACUGACUCCAUCUCUUGGCGAUUGGAGCCCUCUGGCCGCUUCUCCACUAAGUCCCUAUACUCGGCCAUCGCCCCCUCGUCGGCCCCUGAGCCCUUUAGCCUGAUCUGGGACAUCCGCCAGCCUCUCAAGAUCAAGAUCUUCUUGUGGCAGUGGAUCCGGGGACGCCUUCCCUCUGGGGUUGAGGUCCUCAAGGGUAACGGACCAGGAGAUGGGAUUUGUCCCCUGUGCGGCACGGUGGAGGAUGCUAACCACAUCUUCUUCUCUUGCUCCACAGCCCAAUUCCUGUGGUCCUGCUUUCGCGAGACGGUCGGUGGAUAG
rnacentral:rRNA from 1 species